rnacentral:rRNA from 1 species
AGUGAACGCUGGCGGUAGGCCUAACACAUGCAAGUCGAACGGCAGCACAGUAAGAGCUUGCUCUUACGGGUGGCGAGUGGCGGACGGGUGAGGAAUACAUCGGAAUCUACUUUUUCGUGGGGGAUAACGUAGGGAAACUUACGCUAAUACCGCAUACGACCUACGGGUGAAAGCAGGGGAUCCUCGGACCUUGCGCGAUUGAAUGAGCCGAUGUCGGAUUAGCUAGUUGGCGGGGUAAAGGCCCACCAAGGCGACGAUCCGUAGCUGGUCUGAGAGGAUGAUCAGCCAUACUGGAACUGAGACACGGUCCAGACUCCUACGGGAGGCAGCAGUGGGGAAUAUUGGACAAUGGGCGCAAGCCUGAUCCAGCCAUACCGCGUGGGUGAAGAAGGCCUUCGGGUUGUAAAGCCCUUUUGUUGGGAAAGAAAAGCAGCAGGUUAAUACCCCGCUGUUCUGACGGUACCCAAAGAAUAAGCACCGGCUAACUUCGUG